AUGAUGUUGACGUUGGUGGUGUCCUCCUUGCGAGCUGCACGCCACGAUUCUCUGCGGUACCGGGUGUUGGCGAUGUGCUUCCUCUUGGCGAGCUCCACACCGUCAUCCAAGGCGGCAUGGUGGCGGCAUUGUUGCGAGCCUCCACGCCUUUGUCCUCCACGGCUCCGACUUGAUAAAGAAGAGGACGGGCAUCGUCCUAGCGAGCUCCAUCUCUCCAUCCGCCGCAGCACGCAGCACCAUCCCUACGAGCUCCGCGCCUUCGGGCUCCAGCUUGACGAAGUAGAUGUCGGCGGCAUCCUCAAUGGGCGCCACGCCUCCGUCCUCUAG
rnacentral:rRNA from 1 species